UAUUAACAACAUGGUGGAGGACAUGUCCACUGGGAGUGAAGGUUGCAGGGAGAUACAUUUUCCUGGGAGAGAUGAAUCCCUGGAGCACGCCCAUUACCAAGAUGGGAGCAGUACUGGAAGAGCAGGUUUCUCAAAUUCUGGUUGGGAACUUUCCAUUUGGAUGUGUAGCAGGACUCUAUUAGCAACAUCAUCAUGUGGUGGUUCGCAGUGUUUCAUGCAAAGAGAUCACUGAAGGUUUUUGCUGCACAGACAACUUCAGAACAACUUAAAAACUUCAGUUAAUGCACAGGGUAACUCUCCAUAUGUUUUCAGAAGCACGGGACUUGAAGGGGCACAGGCAGAUCUCCACCAAAAUCAUGGGAGGUGAGAUGGCUCUGUGUGAGCUACUCCAAAU
rnacentral:lncRNA from 12 species